AUUCUUUUUUUUUUUUUCCGAUACAAAGCAAGUCUAAAGCCGGAAGAAGGGCGGGGGAGGGCGAUAGUUGAACUCUGACCAUGGAUGUGGGGGUGUAGUGCUCAAAAUCACUGAAGUUAUUAGCCCCACUUAACCCCCUACAUUCUUGUCAAAAGGUUAUAGGUGGAGGCAUAUAUCUCCCGAGGGCUCUAGUUUUGAGCACCUUAUGAUACAUAAGUGCUUGACUCUCCUAUCCUCUGGCGGUCUCAAAACACCUGGGCAACCUUGUGAGAUAUAUUAAUCGCGUUCGAUCGACAAUAUGUCUGGAUCUGAUGUUGACCGAAACCUUAAACCUGAUGAAAACUCUGAGGAUGAGAGGAAAACAAAGCUUGGGUCUUUUAAGAAGGCAGCCAACAUGAUUACA